rnacentral:siRNA from 1 species
UAUCGUUACUAAUCGGAGC